rnacentral:rRNA from 1 species
AACUGCUUGCCUUCCCUUUGGGAGGCCCCCGCGCCCCUUAACUAGUUGUGAGGUAACGGCUCCCCCAGGCGAUGAUGGGUACCCGCCUUGGAGGGUUAUUGGCCCACUUGGGACUGAGACCCGGCCCAGAUUCCUACGGGAGGCAGCAGUAGGAAUCUUCCACAAUGGACGCAAGUCUGAUGGAGCAACGCCGCGUGAAUGAAGAAGGGUUUCGGCUCGUAAAGCUCUGUUGUUAAAGAAGAACGUGGGUGAGAGUAACUGUUCACCCAGUGACGGUAUUUAACCAGAAAGCCACGGCUAACUACGUGCCAGCAGCCGCGGUAAUACGUAGGUGGCAAGCGUUAUCCGGAUUUAUUGGGCGUAAAGCGAGCGCAGGCGGUCUUUUAAGUCUAAUGUGAAAGCCUUCAGCUCAACCGAAGAAGUGCAUUGGAAACUGGGAGACUUGAGUGCAGAAGAGGACAGUGGAACUCCAUGUGUAGCGGUGAAAUGCGUAGAUAUAUGGAAGAACACCAGUGGCGAAGGCGGCUGUCUGGUCUGUAACUGACGCUGAGGCUCGAAAGCAUGGGUAGCGAACAGGAUUAGAUACCCUGGUAGUCCAUGCCGUAAACGAUGAUUACUAAGUGUUGGAGGGUUUCCGCCCUUCAGUGCUGCAGCUAACGCAUUAAGUAAUCCGCCUGGGGAGUACGACCGCAAGGUUGAAACUCAAAAGAAUUGACGGGGGCCCGCACAAGCGGUGGAGCAUGUGGUUUAAUUCGAAGCUACGCGAAGAACCUUACCAGGUCUUGACAUCUUCUGCCAACCUAAGAGAUUAGGCGUUCCCUUCGGGGACAGAAUGACAGGUGGUGCAUGGUUGUCGUCAGCUCGUGUCGUGAGAUGUUGGGUUAAGUCCCGCAACGAGCGCACCCUUAUUACUAGUUGCCAGCAUUCAGUUGGGCACUCUAGUGAGACUGCCGGUGACAAACCGGAGGAAGUGGGGACGACGUCAAAUCAUCAUGCCCCUUAUGACCUGGGCUACACACGUGCUACAAUGGAUGGUACAGAGUUGCGAAACCGCGAGGUUUAGCUAAUCUCUUAAAACCAUUCUCAGUUCGGACUGUAGGCUGCAACUCGCCUACACGAAGUCGGAAUCGCUAGUAAUCGCGGAUCAGCAUGCCGCGGUGAAUACGUUCCCGGGCCUUGUACACACCGCCCGUCACACCAUGAGAGUUUGUAACACCCAAAGCCGGUGGGGUAACCUUUAGGAGCUGGCAU